AGUAUUUCUGCUACAGAUGCAAAUACUGAAUACAUAACAAUAAUAAUUUACCUAAAAUAAGGUUUUAUAGGCUAUGUUACAAGAUUUGAAGAGUGGAGAGCAAAUUUCCUCUGGCACCUAAUGACCCGCUGGUUGAAGGAAGUGAAGGCAGCAUCACCUACACCUGUGGGAGAGGAUGAACACGGUUUAACCAUAGUAUAAAACUGGCAGUGUGCUAGUGUUUCUCCAGGAAAGCCUGAGGACUAUGCAGCAGUUACGUGUGCUGAGCUCUC